ensembl:lncRNA
CUCGCUCACACGCGCGCUCACACGCGCGCUCACACGCGCUCCCUCGCCGGCGCACUCCCGGACGCACACGCUGCGGGCGAGACCAGAAAAUGAAAUUUAUUAUCGGUGGAAGAGACUUUCGAGACAAUUCCAAGUUAUUGUUUCUCCCCGGAGAAGGGGCCGUGCACAGUGAAACGCCUUUUGUGCGGCGCGGAACAAUGCCAAACAAGUGUUCUAGUACAGAGCCACUUUGUGUUCCCCUCGCCAGUGAAUAGAAAGGAGCCGUUGGUUCGUGAGCAGCUGGGACGCGCGGAGGGAGGUGGAGCCGCAGGCGCCCUCUCGCGUGCGCGCCCUCCGCCCCGCGCCCCGCGCCACCGGGAGCCCCGGCCCGACCCGGCCGAGGUUCGGCCCCAAGGCGGCGACACAGCACUCCGCCCGCGGCGCGCUCUCGGCGCGGGGCCGACUCCAGCUUUGUCUCGCGAGGGGACCCCUCGGCCGUGGGCCGCGCCGGGCCUCCCGGCGGCGCCGGCUGCUUCUCUUCGCGCCGCGACAGGCCCCCCCCCCACCGGACCAGACCAGACCAGACCAGACCAGAGGCGGCGUCUGGACGAGAGCGGCGGGCGGACGGAGCUUGCAGUGCUCGCAGCUGCUGUUUCCAGGAUGUCCUUCUCUGUCAGGCUGCAAUCUCCAGGACAAAAAGCCCACAGGACUUUUGCUCAGUGGAGCUCAGUCUGCAGAAACACUCUGUCAUUUGCAGCUGUUUCCUUGCCGCCGGGUUAGCUCUGGAGUCCCCAAAGAGUCAGAUGGGAUGAGAAGACUCGCUGUUCCCCAGGCACCUGGGAACUGCUGCCAGGGGACAAUAAAGCAGUAGCCAGUGCUGAAUGGAUGAAGCUCACAGAGCCCGGAGUCACCACAGCACACUGAAAAGCCCAGAGUCAAGUUGAAGGGAAGUCACUAGCCGUAUUGAGAGACACGGAGAAGAGACCCACAGGCAAGAGAAAGAGCUGUCCACGGAAGCCCACCAGGAGAUGGCCCGAUGUUCACUGGGGCAACAAUUUUAAAGCAUCUUUUAUGACAUGUUCAAAAAAUUGGAGGAAACCCUAGUCUUAAUGAGUGAACAGACUGGGAAUCUGAGCAAAGAAAUGGAAAUGAAAUGGAACUUUCGGAAGUCCUGGUGCAGCUGCAGUGAGAAGCCACUAAACAGGCUCCACAGCAGGCAGCCAAAGCAAGGGGGGGUGACUUGAGAACCUCAAAAGAAAUCCAACCUGAAGAAGACAAAUGGGUAGAGCUGCAGGCACCUGUGAGUAAUAUUCGAUGCCCAAGUACAUGUGUAAUAGGUGGCCUGUAAGGAGAAUCAAGUGAUAUUGGGACAUAAGUUUGUUCUUUUUUUAGAAAAUAAUAGCCAGAUACUUGACUAAUUUGAUGAAAAACAACUUACAGAUCCAAAAAUCUAAUCGAAGUCUAAGCAAGGGCAUAUAAAAUAUAAAGAUGGUAAUAUCUAGGUAGUUGUGUAAAAUUCCGUAAAACAAAGAUAAAGGGGAAAUCUUGAAAUUAGCCAGAGGGGAAAAUACAUGUACAAAGGUAUUAGUUAGACCCUCAUGAAAUAAAGGGGGCCUGAAAAUGAGGGGGCCCGCUGUGGCGGAAGGAAACAAAGUGGCCUUCAGGGAGGCUGAAGAAGACAGGUCAGGUCCAGGUGCUGGCAAGCAGCGCUCUCAGCCCACAACCUCGCGCCGCUCCAGAAAGGCUGAAGGCUGCCUGCUACCAGGCAGGGACUCCACGAGGAACCGGCAUUCACAGAGGAGAGGUGGAGCAGCAGCCAGGAGUAAGCCUGAGUGCUCUUUCUGCCCAGAGUCUGCCUGAGAGAUAGCUACUGGUUUAAAAAGAAAAUCUUUAUCAUUAAAUUAGUGUGGGGGUGCUAAUGGAAACCGUGGAGGUCCUUGGCCUCACUAAUCCUAACAAGAGCAGAGUUUAUUUAAAAACACAGCAAAAAUUUUAAAAAAAGCAAAAAAGGAACAGAGAACAGAAUCACAGAACACUGGGAAUGAUAGUUUCACCCUAGGUGAACAGAAGCAUUAGAAGCCAGCACAUUUUCAUAAUCUUUUGCCAACACUGAGUUUUCACUCAGUCUUACCAAAUUUCCCUAUUACAAAAUGCCUAUCACCUUCCUUGUCAGAGCCCAGUUAUGUCGAAGAAUUACUGUGUUUCUUAGAAGUGCAAGGCGCGGCCCCUCCCUGUGCUCUUGGCCUGUGUCUUCUUGCCCCCAGUGCUCCCAGAGUCCUCUGCAGCAUGAAGCCAGGGAGGGAGGGGUCAGGGAGGACCCCACCCAUUUUAACAAGCGGAGAUGGGCUUGCAACAUAAAUCAAGUAUUAUCUCAUAUAUGCUGUCUAACAGUGUUUAAAAUAAUCUCUCUUCAUAUGAAUUCAUGGGAAGACAUAGAGCUGUAUAGGUACCUGUCUUCUUCAGAUCUUUACAUAUGAUAAAUGAAGAUUCAUCCCUUCUGAGUCAAAAAAGGCAACAACCAAACACCCGCUACGAGACUUUGGUGUCUCCUUCUGUCUUCCCCACCUCUCCUCUUCCUCCCACCCUCCUUCCCUCCCUCUCUCUUCUCUCCUCCCCACCUCACUGGAUACCAAACAUCCAACAUUGAACAUCAUUUCCAUCAUGGCAGUGGAUAAUUUGCUCUUUUGGUUAUGAGUCCUCCACUUUAAGUGAAUUGCAGGCUGGAAUAGAAGCAAGCGUGCUGUGUCACUGCAUUUAGUACUUG